AUGUGGCACCGAGCAGGAGACGCUCAGAGACUGCACAGAAACCAAUUCCCAAUCUUGACUCAUUCCUUUCUUCCAAGGACAGCCGGGCUGGGAUGGGGCGGGAGGGCUGGCGGCACUUCCCAGUCCAUCCAUUCUGGAGCUGGGUGUGAGGUGGCUCUGAGGCUGUUCUGGAGCUGCUGGCACUCCCCAAUCCAUCAUUCCUCUGGAGCUGGAUGUGAGGCAGCUCUGAGGCUGUUCUUGAGCUGCUGGCACUUCCCAAUCCAUCAUUCCUCUGGAGCUGGAUGUGAGGCAGCUCUGAGGCUGUUCUUGAGCUGCUGGCACUUCCCAAUCCAUCAUUCCUCUGGAGCUGGAUGUGAGGCAGCUCUGAGGCUGUUCUUGAGCUGCUGGCACUUCCCAAUCCAUCAUUCCUCUGGAGCUGGAUGUGAGGCAGCUCUGAGGCUGUUCUUGAGCUGCUGGCACUUCCCAAUCCAUCAUUCCUCUGGAGCUGGAUGUGAGGCAGCUCUGAGGCUGUUCUUGAGCUGCUGGCACUUCCCAAUCCAUCAUUCCUCUGGAGCUGGAUGUGAGGCAGCUCUGAGGCUGUUCUUGAGCUGCUGGCACUUCCCAAUCCAUCAUUCCUCUGGAGCUGGAUGUGAGGCAGCUCUGAGGCUGUUCUUGAGCUGCUGGCACUUCCCAAUCCAUCAUUCCUCUGGAGCUGGAUGUGAGGCAGCUCUGAGGCUGUUCUGGAGCUGCUGGCACUCCCCAAUCCAUCAUUCCUCUGGAGCUGGAUGUGAGGCAGCUCUGAGGCUGUUCUGGAGCUGCUGGCACUCCCCAAUCCAUCAUUCCUCUGGAGCUGGAUGUGAGGCAGCUCUGAGGCUGUUCUGGAGCUGCUGGCACUCCCCAAUCCAUCAUUCCUCUGGAGCUGGAUGUGAGGCAGCUCUGAGGCUGUUCUGGAGCUGCUGGCACUCCCCAAUCCAUCAUUCCUCUGGAGCUGGAUGUGAGGCAGCUCUGAGGCUGUUCUGGAGCUGCUGGCACUCCCCAAUCCAUCAUUCCUCUGGAGCUGGAUGUGAGGCAGCUCUGAGGCUGUUCUGGAGCUGCUGGCACUCCCCAAUCCAUCAUUCCUCUGGAGCUGGAUGUGAGGCAGCUCUGAGGCUGUUCUGGAGCUGCUGGCACUCCCCAAUCCAUCAUUCCUCUGGAGCUGGAUGUGAGGCAGCUCUGAGGCUGUUCUGGAGCUGCUGGCACUCCCCAAUCCAUCAUUCCUCUGGAGCUGGAUGUGAGGCAGCUCUGAGGCUGUUCUGGAGCUGCUGGCACUCCCCAAUCCAUCAUUCCUCUGGAGCUGGAUGUGAGGCAGCUCUGAGGCUGUUCUGGAGCUGCUGGCACUCCCCAAUCCAUCAUUCCUCUGGAGCUGGAUGUGAGGCAGCUCUGAGGCUGUUCUGGAGCUGCUGGCACUCCCCAAUCCAUCAUUCCUCUGGAGCUGGGUGUGAGGCUGCUCUGAGGCCGUUCCAGAGCUGCCUGCUCUCCUGUGUGCCCUGA
rnacentral:lncRNA from 1 species